rnacentral:rRNA from 1 species
CUGACCGUAAACGAUGCCAACUACCGAUCCGCUUGUGGAUUUUAUUCACGGGCGGGGAGGCUCCCGGAAACGAAAGUUUUUCGGCUACGGGGGAAGUAUGGUUGCAAAGCUGAAACUUAAAGGAAUUGACGGAAGGGCACCACCAGGAGUGGAGUUUGCGGCUUAAUUUGACUCAACACGGGGAAACUCACCCGGCCAGUACAGUAUAAGGAUUGACAGACUGAUUGCUCUUUCAUGAUUUGUUGAAUGGUGGUGCAUGGCCGUUCUUAGUUCGUGGAUUGAUUUGUCUGCUUUAUUGCGAUAACGAGCGAGACUUUGACUAUUAAAUAGUGCCCGUGUUCCCUAUCGCACGAGGUCACUUCUUAAAGGAAUUUGUGGUUUCUAACCUCAAGAGAUUGAGCAAUAACAGGUCUGUGAUGCCCUUAGAUGUUCGGGGCCGCACGCGUACUACAAUGGUAGUAGCAGCGUGAUUGUCCUUCUCCGAAAGGAGUUGGCAAACAGUUGAGAUAUUACUAUGGCUGGAAUUGGGUCUUGAAAUUAUUGCCCGUGAACGAGGAAUUCCAAGUAAAUGUGAGUCAUCAACUCGCAUUG